rnacentral:tRNA from 1 species
GGGGGGUUAGUUUAUUUGUUGGGGUUAGAACACUGUUUUUGUAAAACAGAGGAGUUUUGUUUGUAACACCCCCCA